AACAUGCUGAUGAAGUAUGCCCAGGUGAAGCCUGAUGGCACGUACGUGAAACCGCUGAGUAACAAGCUGACUUACGGGACCAUGGUGUUUGUCAGGUCCUUCCUUGUGGGAGAAGCUGCUCGGGCUCUGUCUAAGGCGUGCACCAUUGCCAUCCGAUACAGCGCUGUGAGGCACCAGUCUGAAAUCAAGCCAGGGUAAGGGUAGGGUCCUAGAUGGGCUCAGUACCAAAGGCCUAGUUUUUACCCCAUUCAGAUCCCAGAAUUCCCAAAUGUCAAUACAGAAGAUGCAUUGGCACUGCAAAAUUGGCUAGGGUGAUAACUGGGCCUGUAAUUUCGUAUCUAGGCUUCCUUUUCUUAAGAGGAAAGACAGAAAUAACCACCCUUGCUAUAAUCAGUG
rnacentral:sRNA from 1 species